rnacentral:rRNA from 1 species
CCUACGGGAGGCAGCAGUGGGGAAUAUUGGGCAAUGGGCGCAAGCCUGACCCAGCAACGCCGCGUGAAGGAAGAAGGCUUUCGGGUUGUAAACUUCUUUUCUCAGGGACGAAGCAAGUGACGGUACCUGAGGAAUAAGCCACGGCUAACUACGUGCCAGCAGCCGCGGUAAUACGUAGGUGGCAAGCGUUAUGCGGAUUUACUGGGUGGAAAGGGCGUGUAGGCGGGAAAGCAAGUCAGAUGUGAAAACCAUGGGCUCAAACUGUGGCUUGCAUUUGAUACUGUUAUACUUGAGUACUGGAGAGGCAGGCGGAAGUCCUGGUGUAGCGGUGAAAUGCGUAGAUAUUAGGAAGAACACCAGAGGCGAAGGCAGUCUGCUGGACAGCAACUGACGCUGAGGCGCGAAAGCGUGGGGAGCAAACAGGAUUAGAUACCCCUGUAGUC